rnacentral:rRNA from 1 species
AGUGAACGCUGGCGGUAGGCCUAACACAUGCAAGUCGAACGGCAGCACAGUAAGAGCUUGCUCUUACGGGUGGCGAGUGGCGGACGGGUGAGGAAUACAUCGGAAUCUACUUUUUCGUGGGGGAUAACGUAGGGAAACUUACGCUAAUACCGCAUACGACCUACGGGUGAAAGCAGGGGAUCUUCAGACCUUGCGCGAUUGAAUGAGCCGAUGUCGGAUUAGCUAGUUGGCGGGGUAAAGGCCCACCAAGGCGACGAUCCGUAGCUGGUCUGAGAGGAUGAUCAGCCACACUGGAACUGAGACACGGUCCAGACUCCUACGGGAGGCAGCAGUGGGGAAUAUUGGACAAUGGGCGCAAGCCUGAUCCAGCCAUACCGCGUGGGUGAAGAAGGCCUUCGGGUUGUAAAGCCCUUUUGUUGGGAAGGAAAAGCAGCAGGUUAAUACCCCGCUGUUCUGACGGUACCCAAAGAAUAAGCACCGGCUAACUUCGUG